rnacentral:rRNA from 1 species
UGAAGGGCCGCGGUAUUUUGACCGUGCAAAGGUAGCAUAAUCAUUAGUUCUUUAAUUGUGAUCUGGAAUGAAUGGCUUGACGAGACACGAGCUGUCUUAAGUUGUGAAUAUUUUAUUGAAUUUGGUUUUUGAGUUAAAAUUCUUAGAUGUUUUUAUGGGACGAGAAGACCCUAUAGAGUUUAACAUUUGGUCUAUUUUUCUUAUUGUUUGUUUUGUUUAAUUGAGUGGGCUUAUUAUGUUUUGUUGGGGCGAUGAGAGGGAUAUAGUUUAACCUCUCUUUAUUUUGGUUAUAUUAAUUUAUAGUUGCUUGAUCCAUUGAUUUUGAUUAUAAGAUUAAAUUACCU